GAUGAACGCUAGCGGCAGGCCUAAUACAUGCAAGUCAAGGGGCCCGCAAGGGCACCGGCGGACGGGUGCGCAACGCGUACACAACGUGCCCCAGAGCGGGGGACAGCGGCGGGAAACUGCCGGUAAGCCCCCAUGGCGUCGAGUUUCGGCAUCGCGGCUCGACUAAAGGCGACACUCUGGGAUCGGUGUGCGUCCGAUUAGCUAGUUGGCGGGGUAACGGCCCACCAAGGCGUCGAUCGGUAGGGGUGUGAGAGCACGGCCCCCCACACGGGUACUGAGACACGGACCCGACUCCUACGGGAGGCAGCAGUAAGGAAUAUUGGACAAUGGGCGGAAGCCUGAUCCAGCCAUGCCGCGUGGAGGACGAAGGCGCUCAGCGUUGUAAACUCCUUUUGGACGGGGGACAAACCGCUCGGCUCGCCGGGCGUUGAGGGUACCGUCAGAAUAAGCACCGGCUAACUCCGUGCCAGCAGCCGCGGUAAU
rnacentral:rRNA from 1 species